rnacentral:lncRNA from 1 species
CCCAGGGACAUCAGAAGAAUAUACAAAUAGGGGACUGGAAGAGUCUACAGAAGGGGAGGCACUAGUACCAGUACUUGUGUUAGAAGCCAUAGUGCUUAGAUGAACAACUUUUCAACAAACAGAAUACAAUUAAAACAGGUAUUCACACACAACAACCAACAAAUAGAACACAGUCAAGUCAGGUAUUCACAAACAACGCCAGAUGCUCACAAGUACACAGUCAAAUAAUCACAUAUAAUACCGAAGAUAAGGACAGAGUUACCCUCCUUCUUCGCGAUCGGAGAAGAUCGGCCUUCAGAUAACAGAGAACCCUAGGUAUCAAACCCUGGCUGUAACCUUAAAAGCAACUUUACUGGAGAUGUGGUCAGGAACGUCAGGAACGUCGGAGAAGCACCAAAAACCACGAAGCACACAGAAACAUGAUCGGAUCAUCGUCGAGGCUCAUAUACCAUGUAAACAUUCAGAUUAGACCGAGAAACCAUAGAAAUUCUAGAGAGAGAAAGUAGAGACUUCUAUAAACAUUCAGAUUAGACCGAGAAACCAUAGAAAUUCUAGAAAGAGAAAGUAAAGAGAAGUUAGAGCAUUCGGGAACUCUCUGAAAGAGAGAAGUAUAUUACAGAAAAUGAAAGGAGGAAAAUGAGUCUCGGUAGGUGAGAAAAAUAUCUCACCUACAUUUAUACUAAGUGCAAAUGGACGGGUCGGAUCGGGUGAUCCGGCCCAAAAUUAAAUAAGGGACUUGGGCUCAGACCACACUCAUCAGAGCCCAGUUACAACUUAUAACCCAAUGCCGGAAAUAUACCUACAAUAUAUACUCAAUAUACACUGAAUAUACACAAGUAUAUACAAAUCUAAAUCAUGUAAUAUCUUGUAUCUC